rnacentral:lncRNA from 1 species
AGUUAGAUCUUGGAACUGAGUCCAGCAGCACUGAGGUCAGAGAGAUGGCUAAAGCUAAAAGCAAACUGGAUGCUGUUCAGGAGGUUCUCCUUUGUCAUUUUUAUCUCCAAAUAGAAGACCUCUGUUUUCCCAGAAGAUUAAAUAGUAGAAAAGAAGUAGCCCAAGCCCUGGACAACUUUCAGGAAGACAGUUCUGGUCUGUAGCAAUUAACACAUGGUCAUCCUCAGAAAAAGGAGAUACCCAUAACUUAAAAUGCAGGAACCAAGAGAUUUGAGCCUAGACAUUUGGAUGAAAAGCGAUUUCCACCUGGAGAAAGUCACUGCCCUUCUGUGCAGAGGGAACAUGAAGGAGAACCCACCUCUGCUGCUUUUGAAGUGCAGUGGCUUUCACUUGGAAUGGAC